GCCUUUUGUGCAUGUAGGGAUAAGAGGUCGGACCUGCCCGGUGACUGAUCUUAAUGAGGGAGUUAAACGGUUAAUUAAAGGUACAAAGGUAGCACAAUUAAUAGCCCCAUAAAUAGGGGACGGUAUGAAUGGUUUGACAUGGGAAGACUGUCUUUGAUGUAAGUUAUGAAAUUUCUUUUUGAGUGAAAAAGCUUAAGUUUUUGCAAUAGACGAGAAGACCCUGUCGAACUUAGUUAGAGGGUAAAUUUUCACGAACGGGAUUUAUUUUCGAGGUUUUGUUGGGGCAACAGGGGAAUAAAAUGAUCUUCCUCUUGUUAGAAUAAAGACCCCCUAUUAGGGCCUAAAGCAAAAGUUACCGCAGGGAUAACAGCGCAAUACUUUUCUAAGAGAUCUUAUUGAGGAAAGGGAGUGCGACCUCGAUGUUGAAUUAAGGAGAACUUUACGGUUGUAGCCGCUGUAGAUAGUAAGACUGUUCGUCUUUUAAUCCCUU
rnacentral:rRNA from 1 species